UACGUAGGUGGCAAGCGUUGUCCGGAAUUAUUGGGCGUAAAGCGCGCGCAGGCGGUCCUUUAAGUCUGAUGUGAAAGCCCACGGCUCAACCGUGGAGGGUCAUUGGAAACUGGGGACUUGAGUACAGAAGAGAAGAGUGGAAUUCCACGUGUAGCGGUGAAAUGCGUAGAGAUGUGGAGGAACACCAGUGGCGAAGGCGACUCUUUGGUCUGAUAACUGACG
rnacentral:rRNA from 1 species